CAGUCGCCGCGGGAAUACGUAGGUGGCAAGCGUUGUCCGGAAUUAUUGGGCGUAAAGGGCUCGCAGGCGGUUUCUUAAGUCUGAUGUGAAAGCCCCCGGCUCAACCGGGGAGGGUCAUUGGAAACUGGGAAACUUGAGUGCAGAAGAGGAGAGUGGAAUUCCACGUGUAGCGGUGAAAUGCGUAGAGAUGUGGAGGAACACCAGUGGCGAAGGCGACUCUCUGGUCUGUAACUGACGCUGAGGAGCGAAAGCGUGGGGAGCGAACAGGAUUAGAGACCCCAGUAGUCCCUGUCUCUUAUAC
rnacentral:rRNA from 1 species